UACGUAGGUGGCAAGCGUUGUCCGGAAUUAUUGGGCGUAAAGCGCGCGCAGGCGGCUUCUUAAGUCUGAUGUGAAAUCUCGGGGCUCAACCCCGAGCGGCCAUUGGAAACUGGGAAGCUUGAGUACAGAAGAGGAGAGUGGAAUUCCACGUGUAGCGGUGAAAUGCGUAGAUAUGUGGAGGAACACCAGUGGCGAAGGCGACUCACUGGCCCGAUACUGACGCUGAGGUGCGAAAGCGUGGGGAGCAAACAGG
rnacentral:rRNA from 1 species